rnacentral:tRNA from 1 species
GAGGGUAUAGCUCAGUGGUAGAGUGCCUGCUUAGCAUGCAUGAGGUCCUGGGUUCAAUCCCCAGUACCUCCA